AAAAGGGUGAACCCGUCUCUGUGGCAAAAGAGUGGGAAGACCUUGCAGUAGAGGUGAAAAGCCAAACGAGCCUGGUGAUAGCUGGUUGCUCAACAAACGAAUUUAAGUUCGACUCUAGACUAUUUAUGCCAACAUAAAGAACAUAUUUGAGCCUAGAAGUUACUCAAUGAAGGUACAACUCCAUUGAGACAGGAUACAACCUAAACUAGAGAGAAAGUAAACUACGCUAACCAGUGGGCCUUAAAGCCGCCACCAAUAACAACAGCGUCAUAGCACAAAAUAAAUAAAUCUCAUAAGCACAAUCAACCUCCUAGCAACACAUUGAGCUAAACUAUAAAGAUAGACAAACUAAUGCUAAAACUAGUAACAAGAAAUUUUCUCUUUGGCACCCCUGUAACCCAGAAAUAGAAAAACUACUGGAUUUUAACAAACCAAAAUAGGUAAGUCAUAACUAAUGUGAUAUAAAUUGUUACACCAACACCGGAGCGCCACUAAGAUAGAUUAAAAAUUAUAUAAGGAACUCAGCAAAUCUUGUCCCAACUGUUUACCAAAAACAUAGCCUUUAGCAACACAAGUAUUAAAGGUCCCGCCUGCCCAGUG
rnacentral:rRNA from 1 species